AGGGACUGUUCAGAAUGCCUGAGAAACAGAAAUCCAAAACAGAGUCUCUGCUGUUAUGCAGCUUAUAUUUUAAUGAGAAAGACUGACAGUAAACAUGAUAACAAACUAUUUAGUAUGUUAGACAGUGCAAUAUGGCAAGGAAAAAAUUAAUAAAGCAGCAAGAGGUAAUAGGACAUGUCAGGAAAGGAGCCUGAAUUUUAGACAACACAGCCAGGGAACUCUUCACAGAAAAUAUCUGCACAAAGCAGAGGGAGCAGCCAACACAGAGAUGCUGAAGUGGGAUUAUGCCUGGAAUGUUCAGAAGUUCAAGAAGGCCACUGUGGUUGAAGAGGACUUAGCAAGACGGAGAUCAGCGGAGAAGUAGGUGAGUGCAGUGAGGCACCGGAGCGCCAGAUGAAAGAGCUCGAAAGGAUUCAGUGAGGGCUUUGACUUGCACCGAAUGUGAGAGAGGAAGCCCUUGGAGGAUUGCACACACAAGAGGAAUGUGGCCUGGCCGGCGCUUUCAAAGGGCCUCUCUGUGUGAAGACUUUACUGAGAGGCAGUAAGAACAGAAGUGCGGGAGGCUGUUGAUAGGGAGACUUUAGGUAGGAGGCUACUGAACGAAUCUAGGUGGUAACAGCAAGAGUGGCAAGACAUGGCUGAAUUCUGGAUAUAAUUUGAAGGGCUGCUGACCCUGAGACAGUUAACCUCCAGCAGACUGAGAAAUCCUAGAGACAGGAGGAAGCUGCAGUACCUUUUAUGACCCAGUCUCCAGUAUUUGGAAUUCUCCAGGUUUUAUUUUAUGUGCUUCCUUGAGACUGGAUUGUGAAAGAGACUGAAAAGUAUCAGAAAGUUUCAUGACUGAGUUAUUUUUUUAAUGAGAUAUUAUUUGCUUAGUGUGAAAUGGACAGAUCUUAAACUCCUAGCAAGAUACAGAACAUGACCAGCACCUCAGAAGGUUCCCUUGUGCCUCUGCCAAUGAAUUUUUUACCACACAGGUGGAUUCUUUACCGCUACAUCACCUGGGAAGUGGUAAAGAAUCUGACUACUCCCAGGGAAAAAAAUCAUCAGGAUCAGAUGUAUUUACCAUUGAUUUUUAUCUAACCUUAAAGACAGAGGAUGAGAUGGCUGGAUGGCAUCACUGACUCGAUGGACGUGAGUCUGAGUGAACUCCGGGAGUUGGUGAUGGACAGGGAGGUCUGGCGUGCUGCAAUUCAUGGGGUGGCAAAGAGUCGGACACGACUGAGCGACUGAACUGAAAGAACAGAUGAUUUUUAUGUUAUUUAAACUUUAGCCCUAGAAAAAGAUUAAAAUCUCUCUAAUUGAUAUCUUAAAUCCAAUGUAACUUUAAUACUAAGCCAUUAAAUUCUCUGGAAUGUAUACCCAGGAAUGGAAAUGCUGGGUUGUAUUUUAACUGUAUGUUUAAGUAUUUGAGGAACUGCCAAACUGUUUUCCAAAGGUGUCUACACACCACUUUAAAUUCCUAUCAAUUUUUCUACAUCCUCAUCAACACUUACUGUUGUCUUUUUUAUUAUAGCCAUUCUAGUCUGUAUGAAAUGGCAUCUUACUGUGGUUUUGAUUUGUAUUUCCCUUUAUUACUAAUGAUAUUGAUGAUGUUUUCAGUACUUAUUGGCCAUUUGUAUAUCAUCUUUUAUAUUAAGUUGUUCCCACACCAUUUGUUGAAAAGACUGUUCUUCUCUCCAUUGAAAUUUCUUGGCAUCCUUAUCACAAAUAAGUUGCCUUCAAAUAUGUGGGCUUCCUUCUGACUCUCAAUUUUAUUCUAUUGAUCUAUAUGCCCAUACCUUUUCCAGAGCCAAAUGAUUUUGUUUAUUUUAGCUUUGAAAUCAUGAUAUGCAAGUCCUCCAACUUGAAUUUGCCAAACAAGAUUGUUUUGGCUAUUCUAGGUUCUGAAUUUCCAUAUGAAUCCCACCUGUGAAGAAGAACAGGUGGGGUUUUGAGAGGAAUUGCACUGAGUUUGUAGAACAACUUGGGUAGUAUUGUUAUCUGAACAAAUUCUUUGUCUGUGAACGUGAAUGUCUUUCUACUUUCUUAGGUCUUAAUUUCUUUCAACAUGUAUAAAUAUUGCACUUAUUUUGUUAAAUUUAUUCCUGACUAUAUUAUUCUUUUUUAGAUGCUAUUGUAAAGGAAAUCAUUUUAUUAAUUUUAUUUUGGGUUGUUUAUUGUUAGCAUAUAAAAACACAAUUGAUUUUUAUAUGCUGGUAUUGUAACCUGCAACUUUGAUAAACUCAUUGAUUAGCUCCAAUAGUUUUUUGUGGAUUUCUUAGGAUUUUCUGUAUAUGGAAUAUCACUUGCAAAUAGAGAUAAUUUUACUUCUUCCUUUCCAAUUUGGAUUUUUUAAAUUAUUAAUCUUGCCUAAUUGCCCUACUUAUAACCUCCAGAACAAUGCUGAAUAAAAGUGGUAAGACUAGCUAUCUUUGUCUUGUUCCUGAUCUUAGGAAAUAAACUUUCCAUCUUUCACC